UCUGGUGACAAUGGCAAGGAGGUCACACCUGUUCCCAUGCCGAACACAGAAGUUAAGCUCCUUAGCGCCGAUGG
rnacentral:rRNA from 5 species